UUUUACUUAAAUCUAUAAUGGAAAUUAAGGAAGCAGGAGUAACUACCUCUACAAAAACCCAAAGGAGCUCUUUUUUUCAGGCUCUCAGAAGAGGAAAGUUAAUCACGAUCUUGAAAUAAAGCAAGAAGGAAGCCAUGAAGAUAUCUAGAGAAGAGAGUGUCGGGCAGAGAAAAUAACACAUGAAAUGGUAAUGUGACAGAAAUGGCUGAUAGAAGAUGAAGAAAUCCCAGGGUGAAAAGAAAUUAUGCCAGAAUCUCCAGGUGGAGAAGUUGAAAAGCAGCUGGAGAGUUGGAGAGAGAGUCUCUGCCUCAAAGAAAAAAAAAAGGAAAGAAAGAAGAAAGAAAGAAAAGAAAGAAAGAGAGAAAGAAAGGAAGGAAAGAAUGGAACACAAAAGAGGGCUCAGAGUGAAGAUAUGGAUUGAUCAGAUGACUGAGACUAGAAAUGUGACCAGUGGAACAAAACAGAGACCUCAGAAAUGACACCACACAUCUACAACGAUCUGAUCUUUGACAAACCUGACAAAAAACAAGCAAUGGGGAAAGGAUUACCUAUUUAAUAAAUGGUGUUGGGAAAACUGAAUAGCCAUAUGCAGAAAGCUGAAACUGGAUCCCUUCCUUGCACCUUAUAUAAAAAUUAACUCAACAUGGAUUAAAGACUUAAAAGUAAGACCUAAAACCAUAAAAACCCUAGAAGAAAACCCGGGAAAUACCAUUCAGGACAUAGGCAUGGGCAAAGACUUCAUGUCUAAAACACCAAAAGCAAUGGCAACGAAAGCCAAAAUAGACAAAUGG
rnacentral:lncRNA from 1 species